rnacentral:rRNA from 1 species
CUAGCCGUAAACGAUGUAUACUUGGUGUAGUUGGACUCAACCCCGACUGUGCCGUAGCUAACGCGAUAAGUAUACCGCCUGGGGAGUACAGUCGCAAGGCUGAAACUCAAAAGAAUUGACGGGGACCCGCACAAGCAGUGGAGCAUGUGGUUUAAUUCGAUGCAACGCGAAGAACCUUACCUGGGCUUGACAUGCAGAGGACAGUGCUAGAAAUAGCAUCUCCCUUCGGGGCCUUUGCACAGGUGC